rnacentral:rRNA from 1 species
UACGGGGGGGCAAGCGUUGUUCGGAAUUACUGGGCGUAAAGGGCUCGUAGGUGGCCAACUAAGUCAGACGUGAAAUCCCUCAGCUUAACUGGGGAACUGCGUCUGAUACUGGAUGGCUUGAGUUUGGGAGAGGGAUGCGGAAUUCCAGGUGUAGCGGUGAAAUGCGUAGAUAUCGAGAGGAACACCUGCGGCGAAGGCGGGUGCUGGGCUGACACUGACGCUGAAGUGCGAAAGCUAGGGGAGCGAACGGG